rnacentral:rRNA from 1 species
GACGAACGCUGGCGGCGUGCUUAACACAUGCAAGUCGAACGGAAAGGCCCUGCUUUUGUGGGGUGCUCGAGUGGCGAACGGGUGAGUAACACGUGAGUAACCUGCCCUUGACUUUGGGAUAACUUCAGGAAACUGGGGCUAAUACCGGAUAGGAGCUCCUGCUGCAUGGUGGGGGUUGGAAAGUUUCGGCGGUUGGGGAUGGACGCGCGGCUUAUCAGCUUGUUGGUGGGGUAGCGGCUUACCAAGGCUGUGACGGGUAGCCGGCCUGAGAGGGUGACCGGCCACAUUGGGACUGAGAUACGGCCCAGACUCCUACGGGAGGCAGCAGUGGGGAAUAUUGCACAAUGGGCGGAAGCCUGAUGCAGCAACGCCGCGUGCGGGAUGACGGCUUUCGGGUUGUAAACCGCUUUCGCCUGUGACGAAGCGUGAGUGACGGUAAUGGGUAAAGAAGCACCGGCUAACUACGUG